rnacentral:rRNA from 1 species
GUUUGAUCAUGGCUCAGAUUGAACGCUGGCGGCAUGGCUAAAACAUGCAAGUCGCACGUGCCCGCAAGGGUAAGUGGCGAAAGGGUUAGUAAUACGAUCGAACGUACCCCGAGGUGGUGGAUAGCCGUGGGAAACUGCGGGUAAUACACCAUGAUCUCCCCGGAGCAAAGCUUUGGCGCCUUUGGGGAGCGGCGAUCGUCCUAUCAGCUAGUUGGCGGGGUAAAAGCCCACCAAGGCGAAGACGGGUAGCAGGUGUGAGAGCACGACCUGCAACAUCGGAACUGAGACACUGUCCGGACUCCUACGGGAGGCUGCAGUAACGAAUCUUCCGCAAUGGGCGCAAGCCUGACGGAGCAAUGCCGCGUGUAGGAUGAAGCGUCUCUGACGUGUAAACUACUGUCAGGGGUUGGAACAAUGAUCGACCCCAGAGGAAGUGGCGACUAACUCUGUGCCAGCAGUCGCGGUAAUACAGAGGCCACAAGCGUUAGUCGGAAUCACU